rnacentral:rRNA from 1 species
AAACUGGAGGGUUUGAUCCUGGCUCAGAACAAACGCUGGCGGCGUGCUUAACACAUGCAAGUCGUACGAGAAACCAGAACUUCGGUUUUGGGAGUAAAGUGGCGCACGGGUGAGUAACGCGUAGGUAAUCUGCCCUUGGGUUUGGAAUAACUCGCCGAAAGGCGUGCUAAUACCGGAUAAAAUCGUUCGGAGGGAUUCGGAAGAUCAAAGGUGGCCUCUCCAUGGAUGCUACUGCCUGAGGAUGAGCCUGCGUCCCAUUAGCUUGUUGGUAGGGUAACGGCCUACCAAGGCCACGAUGGGUAGCUGGUCUGAGAGGAUGAUCAGCCACACUGGAACUGGAACACGGUCCAGACUCCUACGGGAGGCAGCAGUGAGGAAUAUUGCGCAAUGGGGGAAACCCUGACGCAGCGACGCCGCGUGGGUGAAGAAGGCCCUCGGGUCGUAAAGCCCUGUCUAGAGGGAAGAAAUUCUUACCGGAAUAAUACCCGUUAAGAUUGACGGUACCUCUGGAGGAAGCACCGGCUAACUCCGUGCCAGCAGCCGCGGUAAUACGGAGGGUGCGAGCGUUGUUCGGAAUUACUGGGCGUAAAGCGGGUGUAGGCGGUCUGUUAAGUCAGAGGUGAAAGCCCACGGCUCAACCGUGGAAGUGCAACUGAAACUGGCAGACUUGAGUACCGGAGAGGGAAGUGGAAUUCCUGGUGUAGGGGUGAAAUCCGUAGAUAUCAGGAGGAACACCGGUGGCGAAGGCGACUUCCUGGACGGAUAC